rnacentral:rRNA from 1 species
UUAAACUGAAGAGUUUGAUCAUGGCUCAGAUUGAACGCUGGCGGCAGGCUUAACACAUGCAAGUCGAGCGGUAACAGGGGAAGCUUGCUUCCCGCUGACGAGCGGCGGACGGGUGAGUAAUG